rnacentral:rRNA from 1 species
AGAGGGUGCAAGCGUUAAUCGGAAUUAUUGGGCGUAAAGCGCAUGUAGGUGGCUUGUUAAGUAUGAUGUGAAAGCCCUGGGCUCAACCUGGGAAUCGCGUUGGAAACUGAUGAGCUAGAGUCGGACAGAGGGCCGUGGAAUUUCCGGUGUAGCAGUGAAAUGCGUAGAGAUCGGAAAGAACACCAGUGGCGAAGGCGGCGGCCUGGGUCCAGACUGACACUGAGGUGCGAAAGCAUGGGGAGCAAACAGGAUUAGAUACCCUGGUAGUCCAUGCUGUAAACGAUGAGAACUGGAUGCGCGGAAGGCUUAGACCUUCUGCGUAUCGAAGCUAACGCGUUAAGUUCUCCGCCUGGGGAGUACGGCCGCAAGGCUA